CGCAUUUUAGUUUGAUACCCCGAAACCAGGCGAGCUACUCCAGGACAGCCUAUUUAUAGGGCAAACCCGUCUCUGUGGCAAAAGAGUGGGAAGAUCUUAGAGUAGAGGUGACAAACCUACCGAGCCUUGUUAUAGCUGGUUGCCCGAGAAAUGAAUAGAAGUUCAGCCUUUUAAUUUCUUAAUUAACACUAGUAACACACCUCUCGUAGCAUAAGAAAUUGAAAGAGUUAGUCAAAGGAGGUACAGCUCCUUUGAAUAAAGACACAACUUUGUAGGGAGGGUUAAGAUCAUAAUAAGACCAAGGAUGAGUAUUUAGGUGGGCCUAAGAGCAGCCACCCUGUAGAAAGCGUUAUAGCUCAAAUACCUCCCCUUACCCGCUUAUACCGAUCAUUUAUUCUUAGCCCCCCACCCCUUACCGGGCCAUCCCAUGCCUGCAUGGGAAAGACCCUGCUAAUAUGAGUAAUAAGAGAGCCAAAACUCUCUCCUGACACAUGUGUACCUCGGAUCGAACCCGCACCGAACAAUAACGGCCCCAAAUAAAGAGGGUUGUGAAUGACACCAAAGUUAACAAGAAAAGACUUCAUGACUAUACCGUUAACCCUACACAGGUGUGUUUUCAAGGAAAGACCAAAAGAAAAAGAAGGAACUCGGCAAACCUAUAAGCCUCGCCUGUUUACCAAAAACAUCGCCUCUUGCAAAAUUAAAGAAUAAGAAGGCCCCCCCUGCCUGGGACUAUUUUGUUUAACGGGCCGGGGAUUUUAUAACCGCGCGAAGGUAGCGCAACUACUUGCCUAUUAAAUGAAUACCUGUAUGAAAGGCUAGACGAGGGCUUAACUGUCUCCUUUUUCAUGUAAAUGAAAUUGAUCUCCCCGUGCAGAGGCGGGGAUAACCCCAUAAGACGAGAAGACCCUAUGGUGCUUUAGACACUAAAGAAGACCAUGUCACUAACCCUUUGAUACAGGACUAAACUAGCGGAUACCUUCCCUACUGUCUUUGGUUGGGGCGACCGGGGAGAACUACAAAACCCCCGCGUGGAAUAGGCACACCCGUUCCUUCAAUUAAGAGCUACAGCUCUAACUACCAGUAAAUUCUGACCACCAUAGAUCCGGCAAAGCCGAUUAACGGACCUAGUUACCCUAGGGAUAACAGCGCAUUCCUCUUCUAGAGUUCAUAUCGACAAGGGGGUUUACGACCUCGAUGUUGGAUCAGGA
rnacentral:rRNA from 1 species